UAGGGAAUAUUGGUAAUCUGGGAAACCGGGAACCAGCAACGCCGCGUGCGCGAUGAAGGCCUUCGGGUCGUAAAGCGUUUUUUGAAGGGGUUAGGGAGGACCGUAACUUCAGAAUAAGCCUCGGCUUACUACGUGCCAGCAGCCGCCGGAAAACGUAGGGGGCGAGGGGUUACCGGGUUUUCUUGGCGUAAAGCGUGUGUAGGCGGUUUGAUAAGUUGGAUGUGAAAGGCCCCGGCUCAACUGGGAGAGGUCGUUCAAAACUAGCAGACUCGAGAGUGGUAGAGGGAGGUGGAAUUCCGCGUGUAGUGGUGAAAUGCGUAGAUAUGCGGAGGAACACCAGUGGCGAAAGCGGCCUCCUGGCCCAUUUCUGACGCUCAGACACGAAAGCUAAGGUAGCAAACGG
rnacentral:rRNA from 1 species